CCUACGGGAGGCAGCAGUGGGGAAUAUUGCACAAUGGGCGAAAGCCUGAUGCAGCAACGCCGCGUGAGGGAUGACGGCCUUCGGGUUGUAAACCUCUUUUAGCAGGGAAGAAGCGAAAGUGACGGUACCUGCAGAAAAAGCGCCGGCUAACUACGUGCCAGCAGCCGCGGUAA
rnacentral:rRNA from 1 species